rnacentral:rRNA from 1 species
GGUUAAGCGACUAAGCGUACACGGUGGAUGCCCUGGCAGUCAGAGGCGAUGAAGGACGUGCUAAUCUGCGAUAAGCGUCGGUAAGGUGAUAUGAACCGUUAUAACCGGCGAUUUCCGAAUGGGGAAACCCAGUGUGAUUCGUCACACUAUCAUUAACUGAAUCCAUAGGUUAAUGAGGCGAACCGGGGGAACUGAAACAUCUAAGUACCCCGAGGAAAAGAAAUCAACCGAGAUUCCCCCAGUAGCGGCGAGCGAACGGGGAGCAGCCCAGAGCCUGAAUCAGUGUGUGUGUUAGUGGAAGCGUCUGGAAAGGCGCGCGAUACAGGGUGACAGCCCCGUACACAAAAAUGCACAUGCUGUGAGCUCGAUGAGUAGGGCGGGACACGUGGUAUCCUGUCUGAAUAUGGGGGGACCAUCCUCCAAGGCUAAAUACUCCUGACUGACCGAUAGUGAACCAGUACCGUGAGGGAAAGGCGAAAAGAACCCCGGCGAGGGGAGUGAAAAAGAACCUGAAACCGUGUACGUACAAGCAGUGGGAGCACGCUUAGGCGUGUGACUGCGUACCUUUUGUAUAAUGGGUCAGCGACUUAUAUUCUGUAGCAAGGUUAACCGAAUAGGGGAGCCGAAGGGAAACCGAGUCUUAACUGGGCGUUAAGUUGCAGGGUAUAGACCCGAAACCCGGUGAUCUAGCCAUGGGCAGGUUGAAGGUUGGGUAACACUAACUGGAGGACCGAACCGACUAAUGUUGAAAAAUUAGCGGAUGACUUGUGGCUGGGGGUGAAAGGCCAAUCAAACCGGGAGAUAGCUGGUUCUCCCCGAAAGCUAUUUAGGUAGCGCCUCGUGAAUUCAUCUCCGGGGGUAGAGCACUGUUUCGGCAAGGGGGUCAUCCCGACUUACCAACCCGAUGCAAACUGCGAAUACCGGAGAAUGUUAUCACGGGAGACACACGGCGGGUGCUAACGUCCGUCGUGAAGAGGGAAACAACCCAGACCGCCAGCUAAGGUCCCAAAGUCAUGGUUAAGUGGGAAACGAUGUGGGAAGGCCCAGACAGCCAGGAUGUUGGCUUAGAAGCAGCCAUCAUUUAAAGAAAGCGUAAUAGCUCACUGGUCGAGUCGGCCUGCGCGGAAGAUGUAACGGGGCUAAACCAUGCACCGAAGCUGCGGCAGCGACGCUUAUGCGUUGUUGGGUAGGGGAGCGUUCUGUAAGCCUGUGAAGGUGUACUGUGAGGUAUGCUGGAGGUAUCAGAAGUGCGAAUGCUGACAUAAGUAACGAUAAAGCGGGUGAAAAGCCCGCUCGCCGGAAGACCAAGGGUUCCUGUCCAACGUUAAUCGGGGCAGGGUGAGUCGACCCCUAAGGCGAGGCCGAAAGGCGUAGUCGAUGGGAAACAGGUUAAUAUUCCUGUACUUGGUGUUACUGCGAAGGGGGGACGGAGAAGGCUAUGUUGGCCGGGCGACGGUUGUCCCGGUUUAAGCGUGUAGGCUGGUUUUCCAGGCAAAUCCGGAAAAUCAAGGCUGAGGCGUGAUGACGAGGCACUACGGUGCUGAAGCAACAAAUGCCCUGCUUCCAGGAAAAGCCUCUAAGCAUCAGGUAACAUCAAAUCGUACCCCAAACCGACACAGGUGGUCAGGUAGAGAAUACCAAGGCGCUUGAGAGAACUCGGGUGAAGGAACUAGGCAAAAUGGUGCCGUAACUUCGGGAGAAGGCACGCUGAUAUGUAGGUGAAGUCCCUCGCGGAUGGAGCUGAAAUCAGUCGAAGAUACCAGCUGGCUGCAACUGUUUAUUAAAAACACAGCACUGUGCAAACACGAAAGUGGACGUAUACGGUGUGACGCCUGCCCGGUGCCGGAAGGUUAAUUGAUGGGGUCAGCGCAAGCGAAGCUCUUGAUCGAAGCCCCGGUAAACGGCGGCCGUAACUAUAACGGUCCUAAGGUAGCGAAAUUCCUUGUCGGGUAAGUUCCGACCUGCACGAAUGGCGUAAUGAUGGCCAGGCUGUCUCCACCCGAGACUCAGUGAAAUUGAACUCGCUGUGAAGAUGCAGUGUACCCGCGGCAAGACGGAAAGACCCCGUGAACCUUUACUAUAGCUUGACACUGAACAUUGAGCCUUGAUGUGUAGGAUAGGUGGGAGGCUUUGAAGUGUGGACGCCAGUCUGCAUGGAGCCGGCCUUGAAAUACCACCCUUUAAUGUUUGAUGUUCUAACGUUGACCCGUGAUCCGGGUUGCGGACAGUGUCUGGUGGGUAGUUUGACUGGGGCGGUCUCCUCCUAAAGAGUAACGGAGGAGCACGAAGGUUGGCUAAUCCUGGUCGGACAUCAGGAGGUUAGUGCAAUGGCAUAAGCCAGCUUGACUGCGAGCGUGACGGCGCGAGCAGGUGCGAAAGCAGGUCAUAGUGAUCCGGUGGUUCUGAAUGGAAGGGCCAUCGCUCAACGGAUAAAAGGUACUCCGGGGAUAACAGGCUGAUACCGCCCAAGAGUUCAUAUCGACGGCGGUGUUUGGCACCUCGAUGUCGGCUCAUCACAUCCUGGGGCUGAAGUAGGUCCCAAGGGUAUGGCUGUUCGCCAUUUAAAGUGGUACGCGAGCUGGGUUUAGAACGUCGUGAGACAGUUCGGUCCCUAUCUGCCGUGGGCGCUGGAGAACUGAGGGGGGCUGCUCCUAGUACGAGAGGACCGGAGUGGACGCAUCACUGGUGUUCGGGUUGUCAUGCCAAUGGCACUGCCCGGUAGCUAAAUGCGGAAGAGAUAAGUGCUGAAAGCAUCUAAGCACGAAACUUGCCCCGAGAUGAGUUCUCCCUGACUCCUUGAGAGUCCUGAAGGAACGUUGAAGACGACGACGUUGAUAGGCCGGGUGUGUAAGCGCAGCGAUGCGUUGAGCUAACCGGUACUAAUGAACCGUGAGGCUUAACCUU